rnacentral:rRNA from 1 species
AGUGAACGCUGGCGGUAGGCCUAACACAUGCAAGUCGAACGGCAGCACAGUAAGAGCUUGCUCUUACGGGUGGCGAGUGGCGGACGGGUGAGGAAUACAUCGGAAUCUACUUUUUCGUGGGGGAUAACGUAGGGAAACUUACGCUAAUACCACAUACGACCUACGGGUGAAAGCAGGGGAUCUUCGGACCUUGCGCGAUUGAAUGAGCCGAUGUCGGAUUAGCUAGUUGGCGGGGUAAAGGCCCACCAAGGCGACGAUCCGUAGCUGGUCUGAGAGGAUGAUCAGCCACACUGGAACUGAGACACGGUCCAGACUCCUACGGGAGGCAGCAGUGGGGAAUAUUGGACAAUGGGCGCAAGCCUGAUCCAGCCAUACCGCGUGGGUGAAGAAGGCCUUCGGGUUGUGAAGCCCUUUUGUUGGGAAAGAAAAGCAGCAGGUUAAUACCCCGCUGUUCUGACGGUACCCAAAGAAUAAGCACCGGCUAACUUCGUG